rnacentral:rRNA from 1 species
GAUGAACGCUAGCGGCAGGCCUAAUACAUGCAAGUCGAACGGUAAAUCCCCUUUCGGGGGGAUGAGAGUGGCGGACGGGUGCGCAACGCGUAUGCAACCCACCCCCGACGGGCGCACAGCCGGUGGAAACGCCGGGUAAUGCGCCAUGCGACCCGCGCGGGGCAUCCCGUGCGGGCCAAAGCGGCGACGCGGUCGGGGACGGGCAUGCGUCCCAUUAGAUGGUAGGCGGGGUGACGGCCCACCUAGUCGACGAUGGGUAGGGGAUCUGAGAGGACGGUCCCCCACACUGGUACUGAGACACGGACCAGACUCCUGCGGGAGGCAGCAGUAAGGGAUAUUGGGCAAUGGGGGUAACCCUGACCCAGCCAUGCCGCGUGAGGGAAUGAGGCCCUACGGGUCGUGAACCUCUUUUAUUCGGGGACAAGGACGGCGUCGCGAACGCUGUUUGAGGGUACCGAAGGAAUAAGCGUCGGCUAACUCCGUGCCAGCAGCCGCGGUAAUACGGAGGACGCGAGCGUUAUCCGGAUUCAUUGGGUUUAAAGGGUGCGCAGGCGGCUCGGCAAGUCAGCGGUGAAAGCCCGGGGCCCAACCCCGGAAGUGCCGUUGAUACUGUCGGGCUGGAAUGCGGUCGAGGCGGGCGGAACGUGGCGUGUAGCGGUGAAAUGCGUAGAUAUGCCACAGAACGCCGAUAGCGGAGGCAGCUCGCCAGGCCUGCAUUGACGCUCGGGCACGAAAGCGUGGGGAUCGAACA